CUGCAUCCGUUGAUAGACCUUGAACAGUUUGCUGUUGUUUUUGGUUUGCGCCAGGAUGCAAAAGAAAGAAAUCCCUGCACUUCCUUUCGGUCUUUCUGGCAGCCCAGAGUAAACUGGGGAAUAUAUCU